AUACGGAUGGUGCGAGCGUUGUUCGGAAUUACUGGGCGUAAAGGGCGCGUAGGCGGCGAUGUAAGUCAAAUGUGAAAGUUCUCGGCUUAACCGGGGAAGUGCAUCUGAAACUGCAUUGCUUGAGUAUGGGGGAGGAAAGUGGAAUUCCCGGUGUAGAGGUGAAAUUCGUAGAGAUCGGGAGGAAUACCGGUGGCGAAGGCGACUUUCUGGACCAAUACUGACGCUGAGGCGCGAAAGCGUGGGGCGCAAACAGGAUUAGAAACCCUAGUAGUCC
rnacentral:rRNA from 1 species